UACGUAGGGUGCAAGCGUUAAUCGGAAUUACUGGGCGUAAAGCGUGCGCAGGCGGUGAUGUAAGACAGUUGUGAAAUCCCCGGGCUCAACCUGGGAACUGCAUCUGUGACUGCAUCGCUGGAGUGCGGCAGAGGGGGAUGGAAUUCCGCGUGUAGCAGUGAAAUGCGUAGAUAUGCGGAGGAACACCGAUGGCGAAGGCAAUCCCCUGGGCCUGCACUGACGCUCAUGCCCGAAAGCGUGGGGAGCAAACAGG
rnacentral:rRNA from 1 species